UACGUAGGGUGCAAGCGUUGUCCGGAAUUAUUGGGCGUAAAGAGCGUGUAGGCGGCCCGAUUAGUCCGCUGUGAAAGUCCAGGGCUCAACCCUGGAAUGCCGGUGGAUACUGUCGGGCUAGAGUCCGGAAGGGGCGAGUGGAAUUCCUGGUGUAGCGGUGAAAUGCGUAGAGAUCAGGAGGAAUACCGAUGGCGAAGGCAGGUCUCUGGGCUGACACUGACGCUCAUGCACGAAAGCGUGGGGAGCAAACAGG
rnacentral:rRNA from 1 species